rnacentral:lncRNA from 1 species
UGAUUGCUCGCAGGAAUAGAACUUCGUGUUCAGGUUGAUUUUGCCACCAGCAAGGUCAAUAACCAUUUGGAGAUGGUUUUGCGAUUGCUAAGGCGCCACGACCUAGGUCGUUCGUAGUCGGAUCGCGAGAGUCACCUCCUCCACCAAAUAAAAUUAUUCACCUCACUAAAAGAUCAGGCACUCCAGUUCUAUCAAAUGGUAGUAGAUUUUCAGGUUGCUCUGUGAGCUUUAUCAAGUUGUAUCCCUUUAGUUUGAGAGUGUUCAUUGUCCCAACGUCCAUCAGAAAAGCUACAAAACAUUUAGGCUAGAACCUUGUCCUAGAACCAUUUGUCCUUGCAUUUUCUUUCAGUAAUCUUGUAUUAUUGAAUUUGUGUGCAUUUACGUCAAGUGUUGCUAGUUUCCUCGUAGUUCCGUUGUCACCGUCGUUUUUUUCGUUCAUACAUUUGACAUCUGUCGUUCACCACCAUUCUUUUUCGUUCAUACGCCGACGCCUUUUUUUCAUCCCUGCUUGUUUCGUUGGCACGUUGUCAGCCUUAUUGAUUCGAACGCUUUGGGGCGUCAGAUCUGGUUAUCAAAAAAAGGAAGGAAAGAAACAACAAAGGACAUAAAAAAGGCAAGAUACAAAAAAAUAUAAAAAAGAAGAAGAAAGAAGGCAACCAAAAUUAGCGCACCUCAUUUCCAUAAUCAGCAUUGUUCUAUUUGGCAAGCCGAACCUGCAAUCAAAUUUGGGCGCCUACCAUCUUUGUUUUUGGCAAGAAGCCCACUUUCCCUUACACGCCCCUCCUUUCCUUGUUCAGGGAUCUGGGUGCGCCCAUUUCCUUGUCCAACACU